rnacentral:rRNA from 1 species
GGAAGACAUGAUGAGCACACGAUGGAUGCCCUGGCGCUGCAUGCCGAUGAAGGACGGGGCACCGCUCCGAAAAGCUCUGGGGAGCCGCAAGCAGGCGAUGAGCCAGAGAUGUCCGAAUGAGGCAACUCACCCCGAAAGGGGUACCGUCGCAAGACGGAGGGUACCCGGCCAACUGAAACAUCUCAGUAGCCGGAGGAAGAGAGAACGACACCCGUAGUAGUGGCGAACGAACCGGGUGAGGCCUAAACCGUAGCGGUGCUCAAGGCACCAGCCGUUGCCGCUGCGGGGUUGGAGGGCUGGUCAGGUGGGCCUGGUGACCCACACUGGGGGUGCCGAAGGUAGACAAAUCGCGCUGGAAAGCCGAACCAAAGAGCGUGAGAGUCGCGUCGUCGCGUUCCGAACACCCGCAGGACCAGACCCUGAGUAGGGCCAGGCACGAAGAACCUGGUCUGAAGCUGGGCUGACCACAGUCCAAGGCAAGCUACAUGCAGCGACCGAUAGCGUAUAGUACCGUGAGGGAACGGUGAAAAGAACCCCGGCGAGGGGAGUGAAAGAGAACCUGAAAUCGUGUGCUUCCAAGCCGUCGGAGCCGGGCGUAAGCUGGGUGACGGCGUGCCUUUUGGAGUAUGAUCCGGCGAGUUACCCUGCGUGGCGCGGUUAAGGCAGCGACAGCCGGAGCCAGAGUGAAAGCGAGCCUGCAGAGGGCGCAGGUCGCGCAGGGUAGACGCGAAACCACGUGAGCUUACCAUGGGCAGGCUGAAGCGUCCCUAACAGGACGUGGAGGGCCGCACCGGUGUGGGUUACAAACCGCUCGGAUGACCUGUGGUAAGGGGUGAAAUGCCAAUCGAACGUGGAGAUAGCUCGUUCUCCCCGAAAUGCAUUGAGGUGCAGCCGUGGAUUGUGGCGGCUGGAGGUAGAGCACUGUUGUUGUGCGGGGGCUUCACCGCUUACCAAGCGACGGCAAACUCCGAAUGCCAGCCAGCCAGCACCACGAGUGAGACGGCGGGUGCGAACAUGCGUCGUCAAGAGGGAAACAACCCAGACCGCCAGCUAAGGCCCCCAAGUAACCGCUCAGUGGGAAAGGUUGUGGCGCCGCGGAGACAACCAGGAGGUUGGCUUAGAAGCAGCCAUCCUUGAAAGAGUGCGUAAUAGCUCACUGGUCGAGUAGCGCUGCGCCGAUGCUUCAACGGGGCAAAGCGGUUCGCCGAAGCUGCGGGUCGUUGGCAACAACGACGGUAGGGGAGCGUCGCACCAGCGGUGAAGCGAAGGCGGAAGCGUUCGUGGAGCGGGUGCGAGUGCGAAUGCCGGAAUGAGUAACAGAGAAGUGGGGUGCGAACCCCCACCGCCGAAAGCCUGAGGGUUCCGCCGCACGGGUGCUCCGCGGCGGGUUAGUCGGGCCUAAGGGGUAGGCGCAAGCCGAACCCGAUGGACAACAGGUUCAUAGUCCUGUACUACCGACUGGUCGUUUGACGAAUGCCGGAUGCUGAGGGGGAGUCGCCGCGACGAGACGAGCGUCGUCCAAGCCGGUAGGGAGGAAGGUGAGGCAAAUCCCAUCUUCCGUUGACCGAGAGGCGAAGGGGAGUGGUGCAUGCACCGCGACGGCGAGGCACCUGCGCAGCCAAGAAAGGCCGGCUACGGAGACCAGCGGUACCCGUACCGCAAACCGACACAGGUAGGCAGGUCGAGGAGACCAAGGCGGACGAGUGAUCCCUAGUUAAGGAACUCGGCAAAUUGACCCCGUACCUUCGGAAGAAGGGGUGCUGCAGUAGGGUGAAGCCUGUACAGGUGGAGCGCGAAGCAGCCGCAGGGUCCAGGCCCGGGCGACUGGAUAACAGAACCACAGCUCCCUGCUUAAAGCGUAAGCUGACGUAUAGGGGGUGAUGCCUGCCCAGUGCCGGAAGGUUAAGGGGAGGGGUGCAAGCUCCGAACCGAAGCCCCGGUAAACGGCGGCUGUAACUAUAACAGUCCUAAGGUAGCGAAAUUCCUUGUCGGGUAAGUUCCGACCCGCACGAAAGGCAUCACGAUCUGGGCACUGUCUCAACUAGGGGCUCGGUGAAAUUGCAGUGGCCGUGAAGAUGCGGCCUACUCAGAGCGGGACAAAAAGACCCCGUGGAGCUUUACUACAACUUGCCAUCGGGUGGAUCGGUACGAUGCGUAGGAUAGGUGGGAGGCUGGGAACGUGCCCUCGUGGGGGUGCGGGAGCCGACGGUGAAAUACCACUCUUCGUGGCGGUGUACCCUCACCCGGGAACGGGGACGGUGGCUGGUGGGUAGUUUGACUGGGGCGGUCGCCUCCCAAAAGGUAACGGAGGCGCGCAAAGGUACCCUCACGCGGGAUGGUCAUCCGCGAGCGCGUGCAACGGCACAAGGGUGCUUGACUGCAAGGCAAACCGGCCGCGCAGGGACGAAAGUCGGCCGUAGUGAUCCCACAGUGCUGCGUGGAAAGGCUGUGGCUUAACGGAUAAAAGCUACCCCGGGGAUAACAGGCUCAGACCUCCCAAGAGUUCAUAUCGACGGAGGAGCGUGGCACCUCGAUGUCGGCUCGUCGCAUCCUGGGGCUGGAGUAGGUCCCAAGGGUUGGGCUGUUCGCCCAUUAAAGCGG